ACACUGCUGACGAGUCCCAAACAGGACUAAACAGCUGUCUAAUGC
rnacentral:hammerhead_ribozyme from 1 species